rnacentral:rRNA from 1 species
CCUACGGGAGGCUGCAGUGAGGAAUAUUGGUCAAUGGGCGAGAGCCUGAACCAGCCAAGUCGCGUGAGGGAGUACUGCCCUAUGGGUUGUAAACCUCUUUUGUCGGGGAGCAAAAGCCGGACGUGUCCGGCUGUGAGAGUACCCGAAGAAAAAGCAUCGGCUAACUCCGUGCCAGCAGCCGCGGUAAUACGGAGGAUGCGAGCGUUAUCCGGAUUUAUUGGGUUUAAAGGGUGCGCAGGCGGAUUUUUAAGUCAGCGGUAAAAUCGUGGGGCUCAACCCCAUCCAGCCGUUGAAACUGGGGAUCUAGAGUGUGCGAGAGGUAUGCGGAAUGCGUGGUGUAGCGGUGAAAUGCAUAGAUAUCACGCAGAACCCCGAUUGCGAAGGCAGCAUACCGGUGCACAACUGACGCUUAGGCACGAAAGCGUGGGUAUCGAACAGGAUUAGAUACCCCAGUAGUC